rnacentral:rRNA from 1 species
GAUGAACGCUGGCGGCGUGCUUAACACAUGCAAGUCGAACGAAGCACUUUGAAGUUUUCGGACUGAUGAGUGACCGAGUGGCGGACGGGUGAGUAACGCGUGGGUAACCUGCCUCAUACAGGGGGAUAACAGUUAGAAAUGGCUGCUAAUACCGCAUAAGCGCACAGUACCGCAUGGUACGGUGUGAAAAACUCCGGUGGUAUGAGAUGGACCCGCGUCUGAUUAGCUAGUUGGUGAGGUAACGGCUCACCAAGGCGACGAUCAGUAGCCGACCUGAGAGGGUGACCGGCCACAUUGGGACUGAGACACGGCCCAAACUCCUACGGGAGGCAGCAGUGGGGAAUAUUGCACAAUGGGCGAAAGCCUGAUGCAGCGACGCCGCGUGAACGAAGAAGUAUUUCGGUAUGUAAAGUUCUAUCAGCAGGGAAGAAAAUGACGGUACCUGACUAAGAAGCACCUGCUAAAUACGUGCCAGCAGCCGCCGUAACAC